ACUCGGCUCCCCGCCCCCUCCCUCGGCCGCAGCACCCCCGCCCCUUAGCUCUCCGCAUGGCUGCCGCCGCGACUCCUCCUCCGCGCAAGAUGGCGAGGGCCCAGCUGCAGCCGCUGAGCCCGCCGCGGCGCCUCUGCCUCUCCUGCUUCGUGGCAGGAGAAAUCCGGGCCGAGGAACCUCCCUGGGGCGAAAAUGGAGGAAAUAACAGGAAUGCAAUCUUGUUCCAGGUAAAACAAAAAUCGGAAGCUUGAAAGUUAUCCAGGUCAAGGGAAAAUAAAAACCUGGGUCUCACCCAGUUGACAGAAAAUACACAGGGCAAUGACGGGACCAUAUGUUGACAACAGAACUCCGACCCACAACCUCUGCUGCAACCAACACGGGAAGCCAAACCACAGCCUCUGCAGUGAUCAGCUUAGAACGAGCAGGAGUCGGUCAUUGACUGCCAGCUUCCCAAAUUUUUGCCCCUGUUACCAACUCGGGACCAAUCAGAGAAAGCCAAAUAUGUUUUUCCCCCCCCCAACCAAUCACGUUAGACGCCCGGCUUCUAGUUAGCCCGCCUCCAGCUUCCCCGAGUUAACCUCCAAUCAGAGCAUACCCUGAAGCCUACUCCACCCACCCCCUUUUUUUUUUUUUUUUUUUUUUUUUUUCACUGCCGGCCUGUAAGUCCCAAGCUGGGUGAAGGUGGCUGCCUCCCUUGCUGUAGCAAGCUUUGAAUAAAUAGCCUGUUCUCA